UCGUACCCUGCACUACAGUUUGGUGAAGUGAAAGUGCGUAGUCACAAAAUGUGUUCGUGAUGAAGCCAAACCACUGUCAGUGGUGGAUAAAGUCUUACCGAUUGAAAAGUUUCAUUGCCCUGUUUCGUUCAACACGACACUCAAAGAAAUACCUGAUGACUUCAAGCGAGUCUCCGUCACCCUGGAUGUGGAAACAGCGCAUCCGCGGCUCGAGGUGUCUGAGGAUCGGAAGAGUGUGAGACGGACCGGGACCGUGAGGAGUCUCCCUGACACCGGGAAGAGGUUUACAGGCCGGGCGUGUGUGCUGGGAUCGGAGGGAUUCACAUCGGGGAGACAUUACUGGGAGGUGGAGGUGGCGGGGAGUCGGUACUGGAG